rnacentral:lncRNA from 1 species
AGGGAUUGGCACAUGCAGAUAUGGUGGCUGAGAAGUUCCACAAUCAGUUGUCUGCAACAGCAGUCUCAGGUAUGUCUUUAUCAGCAGUGUGAAAACAUACUAAUAUAGCAGGAAAGCCAGCCCAGGUGGAGAUCCAGCCCAAACCUGAAGGCCAGAGACCCAGGGGAGCCAAUGGCGACAAUCUCCAUCUGAGCCAGAAGGCCUAACAAUAGGGAGUACCAGUGUCUGAGGACAGGAGGAGAUGGAUGUCCUGGCUCCAGCGGAGAGAGAUGCCAUUCCAAGAAAACCAUGGAAGCAGAAAAGAGGAAAGCAGAAACACAGAUGAAGCAAGAGGCUAUGUCCUCUGUGCAUGGAGACAGCAGAUCUAUUAGUAGACAGGAUGAAGAGAAAAGGUGUGAAGAAAAGCCACAUGGCUGAUGUGACAAGGAAGAAAGUGGGUCUCUCAGCUCUUCCCUUCUUGUUUUUGCCCUUUUCCCAGUACCAAGAAAUGUAUUUUUGGGGGCCACAUUCUUCCCACCAUAAUUUAGAAGGAUGCUGUUGCCAGGUUUGAAGACCACUUGAAACAAUAAUUGUUGUUAUUCUGCUAUACUCACCAAGAAUGACAAAACUAUUUACAUACUGGGGAUAGCGUGCUAGAAAAAUUGCUAAACAAAUAGUAUUUUUUCCUUCCAUAAAAUCAGAGUUGUAAAGAGCAAUAUAUUAGGCAUUUUCUUUGCCAGAGAACUUUAGCUAUGAUUUUCUGCUUCUUUAAAAUUCAUAUUAAUGAUCGUAGAUACCAGGUAUCUAAGGGAAAGACUCUUUGCAACAUCUUCUAUAUAUACCCUGGGUGUUUCUGUAUUGAAUUUACUUAAGAUUUAGGCUCUACAGUUUGAUCUCAAUCAUGUAAAAAUAUAUAGCAAGAAGGCUCCUGGGACAAAAACUGAAAUGUUUAUUAUUAAUUUUCUCUGGGCAUUGAAAUUCUGGAUGAUUUUAUUUUUUCAUACUUCUUUCUAUUUUCCAUAUAUUUUACAAUCUGUAUUCAUAGCUUCAAAAAUAAAAUAGUUGCUGUGAAUAAUCACUCUAUGUAAG